AUUGAACGCUGGCGGCAGGCCUAACACAUGCAAGUCGAGCGGAUGAAGGGAGCUUGCUCCUGGAUUCAGCGGCGGACGGGUGAGUAAUGCCUAGGAAUCUGCCUGGUAGUGGGGGAUAACGUCCGGAAACGGGCGCUAAUACCGCAUACGUCCUGAGGGGGAAAGUGGGGGAUCUUCGGACCUCACGCUAUCAGAUGAGCCUAGGUCGGAUUAGCUAGUUGGUGGGGUAAAGGCCUACCAAGGCGACGAUCCGUAACUGGUCUGAGAGGAUGAUCAGUCACACUGGAACUGAGACACGGUCCAGACUCCUACGGGAGGCAGCAGUGGGGAAUAUUGGACAAUGGGCGAAAGCCUGAUCCAGCCAUGCCGCGUGUGUGAAGAAGGUCUUCGGAUUGUAAAGCACUUUAAGUUGGGAGGAAGGGCAGUAAGUUAAUACCUUGCCGUUUUGACGUUACCAACAGAAUAAGCACCGGCUAACUUCGUG
rnacentral:rRNA from 1 species